GAUGAACGCUAGCUACAGGCUUAACACAUGCAAGUCGCAGGACUGGCGCACGGGUGAGUAACGCGUAUCCAACCUUCCCAUGCCCACGGGAUAACCCGUUGAAAGACGGACUAAUACCGUAUGGUGACGGAUGGGGAUGCGUCUGAUUAGCUUGUUGGCGGGGUAACGGCAAACCAAGGCGACGAUCAGUAGGGGUUCUGAGUGGAAGGACCCCCAGGUUGGAGCUGAGGCACGGUCCAAACUCCUACGCGAGGCAGCAGUGAGGAAGAUUAGGCAAUGAGCGAGGGCCGGAACCAGCCGAGUGGCGUGAAGGAGGACGGCGUAGGAGAUGUAAGCUGCUUGUAUGCGGGGAGAGGUACCGAAUGAAUAAGCACCGGCUAACUCCGUGCCAGCAGCCGCGGUAAUUC
rnacentral:rRNA from 1 species